UCCAGAAAACCCUGAACUCAGGAAUGAGACAUACAAACUCAUCCAGGAUGCAAUCGACAAACUGCUGAACCUAAUGCUGAUCCAACCUGAAGAAAAUCCUUUCCACUUCCCGCAAGCAAUUUUUACGAUCACACCUAACCAGAUUAAUGCCACUGUGGAGUACGUCUAUCAGAAAGGUGACAUCAAUGAGCCAAGCAAAUUCUUAACUGCAGUC